CCUACGGGGGGCAGCAGUGGGGAAUAUUGCACAAUGGAGGGAAGUCUGAUGCAGCGACGCCGCGUGAGUGAUGAAGGUAUUCGGUAUGUAAAGCUCUAUUAGCAGGGAAGAAAGUGAGGGUACGUGAAAAUGAAGCUCCGGCUAAAUACGUGCCAGCAGCCGCGGUAAUACGUAUGGAGCACGCGUUAUCCGGAUUUACUGGGUGAAAGGGGAGAGUAGGUGGCAGAGCAAGUCAGAAGUGAAAGCCCCAGGCUCAACCUUGGGAAUGCUUUAGAAACUGGUCAGCUAGAGUGCAGGAGAGGCAAGUGGAAUUCUAAGUGUAGCGGUGAAAUGCGUAGAUAUUAGGAGGAACACCAGUGGCGAAGGCGGCUUGCUGGACUGUAACUGACACUGAGGCUCGAAAGCGUGGGGAGCAAACAGGAUUAGAUACCCCUGUAGUC
rnacentral:rRNA from 1 species